GCUUAUCAACUAUUCUAAAAUUAUUUGGAUACAUAUUCAUUCAAACUCUAUAAUUAUUUAAAUCUUUAUCUAAAAGAAUAUAUAAAUUACAUGAUUCAAAGUCAUGUCACCAUUAAGAUAUUGGGACAGGAUUUCCUCAAAAAAAAAAAAAAAAUUGGCACAUGAUUAGUCAAGGAAAUUACAUGAUUGAGGAUACUAUAACUCAAAGUGAAGGAGCUAAUAUAGGGUCUUAUAUUGAAAGCUUGGUUAUCUUUAGUAAAGGAAAGAUCACCAAGUCGAUUUUUUUCGCCCUAAAAUAAAAUGUUAUUAAAAUGAACAAAUC
rnacentral:lncRNA from 1 species